rnacentral:rRNA from 1 species
GACUAGUGUUAUUCAUCUUUAAUAGGUUUAAAGGGUACUUAGACGGUAAAUAAAGCCCGAAUAGGGAACUAAUAUACUAGAGUUUGAUGUAAGGAAGCAUGAAAGUACUGUUGGUGUAGAGAUAAAAUUCUAUCAUACCAAAUAUGGCACAGGUUUAGGCGAAAGCAUCUUCUUAUGUAAUAACUGACGUUGAAGGACGAAGGCUUUGUGUCUCGAACAGGAUUAGAUACCCCAGUAGUCUAAGCAGACAAUGAUGAAUGUCAUAGAUUAGAUUUAAUUAAAUUUAUUCUAUAAAUGAAAGUGUAAGCAUUCCACCUCAAGAGUAAUUUGGCAACAUUGGAACUGAAAUCAUUAGACCGUUUCUGAAACCAGUAGUGAAGUAUGUUGUUUAA